rnacentral:lncRNA from 1 species
ACUAGACAAGUCCCUCGCUAAAUCACAGCCAUGAUUCAUAUCACGGAAAGUGGUGUAGCUCCCAGUAAUUGCGAGAUUUGUGUCGAUGUUGGGAUCGAAUAGGGAGCUGGCAGCCCAGACCACCAGGAGCUAGCGUACAAGAAUCUUGGGCCAUGGGAGGGACAUGCGGAGCACCGACAUGCUGUAGACCCACAGGAGAAUCCUGGGCCUGGCCCAUGCAUGGCGUCUCUUGCGUUGGAAGGGAGUACUAUGGCAGCACACAGUACGGAUACUUGGAACUGACUG